rnacentral:rRNA from 1 species
UACAGCCGCCGCCGUAACACAUGCAAGUCGAGGGGUAGCAGGAUUAAGCUUGCUUAAUUGCUGACGACCGGCGCACGGGUGCGUAACGCGUAUGCAACCUACCCUAUACUGGGGUAUAGCCCGAAGAAAUUCGGAUUAAUCCCCCAUAGUAUAUAUGAAUCGCAUGGUUUAUAUAUUAAAGGUUACGGUAUAGGAUGGGCAUGCGUCCCAUUAGCUAGAUGGUGAGGUAACGGCUCACCAUGGCGACGAUGGGUAGGGGGCCUGAGAGGGUGGUCCCCCACACUGGUACUGAGACACGGACCAGACUCCUACGGGAGGCAGCAGUGAGGAAUAUUGGUCAAUGGGCGAGAGCCUGAACCAGCCAUGCCGCGUGCAGGAAGACGGUCCUAUGGAUUGUAAACUGCUUUUAUUUGGGAAUAAACUCUCCGACGUGUCGGAGCCUGAAGGUACCAAAUGAAUAAGCACCGGCUAACUCCGUGCCAGCCGCCGCGGUAAAAC